CGUUCCUUGAUUAAUUUUUUUUUUCUUUUUCACAUUUACCCAUCUCUUUCUUCCUCUGUACAAUGCCCAAAAUUAUUCCCUAAACAUAAGAGAAAAAACGAAAGCUCAGUUUUCUCUCCUCCCCACUCUCUGCUCUGUUCAAUUUCACAGACUCAUUUGACUCGCUACUCACUACUCAAUCUUACUAAUCCCAACUCGGUUCAUCACCACAUUUCUAAACCCUUCUCCACCAACUGCCUGAAAACACAUACCAACACCUCCACCACUGCCCGACCCGCCCCCACUCUGCUCCAUCAUGUAAUUCCUCACCUCCAUUUUUAUCAUUUCAUGCAUAACCGCCAUAAACUCCGCAGUGAACCCAACAAAUCCUCCCCCUACUCCACCAUUUACCGCUCCCUGCUGCAUACCCGCUGCUACGGCAGCCGCCGCCUCCUCCACCUGUGCCGGUGCUAGUGAAACUUGAUUCAUAGCUGGCACCAAAGAGAUUGUAUUUGUUGCUGGAGUUGACUCCGUCACUCGCACUGGAGUUGACUCGGCUGCUCGAUUGGAGACCUCAGAGGAGUCGGCACCGGGCAAGGAUAGGCUCAGCGAUGUGGGAGGGUCGUUGUUAUUAGAAGACGACGUCGUUUCCACUGGAGGGAAAACAGGUGCUGCUCUAGGCACCGGUCUAUACACAUGCGAGGAAGACAAAACAGGAACACUGGAAUCGCUGACGUCAGAUCCAGAUGGACUCCCUGGAUUCAUAUAAAGCCCCGUGGACACAGGCAUACCAGAACCCGCACUCACAGAUCUCUUCAACGGCUGACCGUUACCACCCAAAUUACCAUCGUACGCAUCCCGGCUGCCAAAACUAACGUCGUCCACCAUCGACGAUGAGCACUUCCGCUUCAAAGUAGAGUUCCAGUGGUUCUUAAUAGCGUUAUCGGUCCGACCAUUGAGGAGGCGGGCGAUAGUGGCCCACUUGUUGCCGAAGUGAGCGUGGGCACGUAUGAUAGUCUCAUCCUCUUCAGGAGUGAAGGCGCGGUGCUCUACCUGAGGGGAGAGCUGGUUGCACCAUCGGAGGCGACAAGACUUACCGGAUCGGCCGGGAAUAGAUUUGCUUAUCAAGGACCAGUUUCUGGGUCCGUGCUUCUGGACCAGCAUCUGUAACGCUUCGUCUUCCUCGGGGCUCCACGGACCCUUGAUCCGAUCCACAUCCUUGCCAGUAACAGCCAUAUAGAGUAACGAUCAUAAAAUGGAAGCUUUAGGUUAUUUUCAGUUUCUCGUUUCGCUUAGAGUUGGCGGAGAGAGGCGGACGAAGACUAGGAUCCGUGGGCGUUGCGUGAGGUGGAUUAUAAGAGAGAAAGGGAGAUAUAUAAGGGAGGGAGGUGGGGAACCGGAAGAGCCGGUUUGUUGUUGAAGGAGAGAGGAGGUAUGGGGCACCGAUGUUUCGAGGCAAUAGGGGAGCUUGGGAUACAGCUGGCAACGGACACGCGUCACGUUCUAUUAGCACUGAUUUACAUUAGUCACUCUUAACAUCUCUGCUUUGCUUUUCCUGCUGUAGACUUUCUUUUAGCACUCAACUCUCUCUCUCUCUCUCU
rnacentral:misc_RNA from 1 species